UCUGGUGAUGAUGGCAUAGAGGUAACACUCCUUUCCAUUCCGAACAGGACAGUUAAGGUCUAUAGC
rnacentral:rRNA from 1 species